rnacentral:rRNA from 1 species
UUAUGGCUCAGGAUGAACGCUGGCGGCGUGCCUAACACAUGCAAGUCGAGCGAUUACUUCGGUAAAGAGCGGCGGACGGGUGAGUAACGCGUGGGUAACCUGCCUCAUACACAUGGAUAACAUACCGAAAGGUAUGCUAAUACAGGAUAACAUAAGAGAUUCACAUGGAUUUUUUAUCAAAGCUCCGGCGGUAUGAGAUGGACCCGCGUCUGAUUAGCUAGUUGGUAAGGUAAUGGCUUACCAAGGCGACGAUCAGUAGCCGACCUGAGAGGGUGAUCGGCCACAUUGGAACUGAGACACGGUCCAAACUCCUACGGGAGGCAGCAGUGGGGAAUAUUGCACAAUGGGCGAAAGCCUGAUGCAAGCAACGCCGCGUGAGUGAUGAAGGCCUUCGGGUCGUAAAACUCUGUCCUCAAGGAAGAUAAUGACGGUACUUGAGGAGGAAGCCCCGGCUAACUACGUGCCAGCAGCAGC